CCAGAAUGGCGGCUUCUCACCUUCUCACUCGUUCAGCAGCAGGGCAACGUGAUGCGCGGGGUGUGUACGGGGGUGACUGAAGGACACUGGGGCAGUUAUGCUGGCACAACUAGAGACACUCAAGAAAGAAGACUUCAGAGCCGCUUCAGAAAGCGCAAGAACCACGAGUGAUCACCAACUCUUUCUGCCUCAGCCUCGUCUAAAUAAACAACAGUCUGGACCAGAAAACCAGCC